GGGGAGCUUAACUGGCAGUUCGAGGGGGCAUCCGGGAGGGAAGCUUGCUUUUCCUGGCCGGCGACCGGCGCACGGGUGAGUAACACGUAUGCAACCUGCCCUCUUCAGGGGGACAACCUUCCGAAAGGGAGGCUAAUCCCGCGUAUAUCGGUUUCGGGCAUCCGGGAUCGAGGAAAGAUUCAUCGGAAGAGGAUGGGCAUGCGGCGCAUUAGCUUGACGGCGGGGUAACGGCCCACCGUGGCGACGAUGCGUAGGGGUUCUGAGAGGAAGGUCCCCCACACUGGUACUGAGACACGGACCAGACUCCUACGGGAGGCAGCAGUGAGGAAUAUUGGUCAAUGGGAGAGAUCCUGAACCAGCCAAGCCGCGUGAGGGAAGACGGCCCUAUGGGUUGUAAACCUCUUUUGUCGGAGAACAAAACCCGGGACGUGUCCCGGACUGCGUGUAUCCGAAGAAAAAGCAUCGGCUAACUCCGUGCCAGCAGCCGCGGUAAUACGGAGGAUGCGAGCGUUAUCCGGAUUUAUUGGGUUUAAAGGGUGCGUAGGCGGUCCGUUAAGUCAGCGGUAAAAUUGCGGGGCUCAACCCCGUCGAGCCGUUGAAACUGGCAGACUUGAGUUGGCGAGAAGUACGCGGAAUGCGCGGUGUAGCGGUGAAAUGCAUAGAUAUCGCGCAGAACUCCGAUUGCGAAGGCAGCGUACCGGCGCCAGACUGACGCUGAGGCACGAAAGCGUGGGGAUCGAACAGGAUUAG
rnacentral:rRNA from 1 species